rnacentral:lncRNA from 1 species
AAAAUACAACCAUUGAAGGAAAAGCUGGUGACACAGUGAUUCUCCCAUGUUCAACAAAGAACAAGAUGAAUAUCAGCCUUGAAGAAGUUGAGUGGACAUUUAUGGAUCCAACUACAGGGAAAAAGACUGUCCAUCUGUAUUUUCAGGGUAAAGAUCAACUUCACCAACAGAGUGAUGACUUCAAAGACCGAACAUCUCUUUUCAAGGAGGAACUGUCCUCAGGGAACUGUUCUCUCAGUCUGCUAGCAACCACAUCUCAUAAUGGUUCAUACCAAAGCUAUGUUGGAGGGCGUCUCUGCUGUACUGUAAACCUCAAAGUCCUUCCUGCAGAAGAAGACAGCUCUGAGGAUGAUCCUGUGUCUCCAGAUAAACCAAACAUGUUGCAGUGCCAAAAUACAACCAUUGAAGGAAAAGCUGGUGACACAGUGAUUCUCCCAUGUUCAACAAAGAACAAGAUGAAUAUCAGCCUUGAAGAAGUUAAGUGGACAUUUAUGGAUCCAACUACAGGGAAAAAGACUGUCCAUCUGUAUUUUCAGGGUAAAGAUCAACUUCACCAACAGAGUGAUGACUUCAAAGACCGAACAUCUCUUUUCAAGGAGGAACUGUCCUCAGGGAACUGUUCUCUAAGUCUGCUAGCAACCACAUCUCAUAAUGGUUCAUACCAAAGCUAUGUUGGAGGGCGUCUCUGCUGUACUGUAAACCUCAAAGGUUCGUACUAAUACUAUUUUAUUAUCAUGAAGUUUGUAACCAAACUGUACACAAGAGGCUUCACAGGUAAUAACAGCUUGUUUGAUGCAGUGAUGUGACAUUAAACCAGAUGUCUAGAUGAUCAUGCCCACAAAUUGUGUUUGACUUUAAUUUCAUUGU